rnacentral:rRNA from 1 species
UACGAAGGGGGCUAGCGUUGCUCGGAAUCACUGGGCGUUAAGCGCACGUAGGCGGCUUUUUAAGUCAGGGGUGAAAUCCUGGAGCUCAACUCCAGAACUGCCUUUGAUACUGGGAAGCUUGAGCCCGGGAGAGGUGAGUGGAACUCCGAGUGUAGAGGUGAAAUUCGUAGAUAUUCGGAAGAACACCAGUGGCGAAGGCGGCUCACUGGCCCGGUACUGACGCUGAGGUGCGAAAGCGUGGGGAGCAAACAGG